AUGGCAAAUAAAAACCUUGCUUUAAUCUUCACAGCUGAGGACUCAAGAUGGCGCUGUGAGAACAACCCAGGAUUGGAGCUCUUCUCGUUGAAUCCGCAAACGGCAAAUUCCACCUCAAAAUCCUUGAACUUUGGCUGGGUGCAGUGGCUCACACCUGUAAUCCUAACACUUUGGAAGGCCGAGACGGGAGGACUGCCUGAGCUCAGAAGUUGGAGACCAGCCAGGCCAACAUGGUGAAACCCUGUCUCUACCAAAAAAUACAAAAAAUUAGCUGGGCAUGGUGGCAGGCACCUGUAAUCUUAGUUACUCCGAAGGCUGAAAAACGAAAAUCACUUGAACUCUGGAGGCAGAGGUUGUGGUGAGCUGAGAUUGCACAAGUGCUGUCCAGCCUGGGUGAUGGAGUGAGACUCUGUAUCCAAAAAAAAAAAAAAAAAAAAAAUACCUGAACUGUAACUUCUGUCUUCUGAACAUGAAGAGACCGCUGUGCUCUGCUAUGUUUCCCCUUCUGACAUUGCAUUAUCAAAAAUUCAGUCGGGCAAAAAGCCAUAGUGACAAAUGGACUGAACUCUCUUACUUCUCUCCUCUUAAGGAUCACUUUCUUUUGUUUCUUGUUUUCAAAUGUUUGAGAACAGCCAUUUCAUUAUUUGUCCAGCCUUUUACUUAUCUGUAGUUAUUGGGCAAUGUAUUAAUUGGCAGCGCUGUCAUAACACAGUAGCGGAGACUGGUGACUUGAACAACACAAAUUGAUUUUCUCACAGUUCUGGAAGCAAAAAGGCCAAGAUCAAAGUUUGACAGAGUUGGCUUUUUUUGAAGCCUCUCUUCUUGAACGGUAGAUGACCACCUUCUCUCUGUGUACUUACACAGUUGUUUCUGUGUCUGUGUUCUAAUUUCCUCUUCUUGUAAUAUUGGAUUAAAGCCCAGUCUAAUGACAUCAUUUGAACUAGAUAACCUCUUUAAGACCUUAUCUGUAAAUACAGUUACAUUCUGAGCUAUUGGGGAUUUAUGUUUCAACAUAUGAAAUUAUUUUUGGGGGGAGCACAAUUUACUCAUAAUGAACAGUCCAGUAAUGAUUAUGCUUUCAUACCAGCAACAGAAUUUUUGAAAGCUUGCUAUUUGCCAGUCAUUUUAUAAACAUGUUGCAGACUUUAACUCAAUUAAUUCUCCUAAUGUCCCUGUCACAUAGACAUUAUACACUCUAUUUUAGAUCUAAGGACACUAAGCUUCAAGAGUUAAGUAAUUUGCCUAAGGUGCUGUAGCUAAUAAGCAGAAGAGUCUGGAUUUGAAUCUAAGUAUUACUCCAAGGCCCUGGUUCUUAACCACUAUGCUUUGCUUUCUUUUAGGGCACACAUGAAAGGCAAAACUAAUGUCUCUAGAUUAUAUUCUUGGACCUGUGGGCAGAUAUUCCUAAAAUGCCUAGCCUUGAAGCUUAACGGCAUACAGAGUUUUACUUCUUAGCAACUCACAAAUUUUCCCAUGUCAGAAAACAGAAAAAUACUAGAGUAUAAUUCAUUACUCAUAUGAAAUAAACAUCUUUCAUUUUGUCUCUCUCA
rnacentral:lncRNA from 13 species